GGUCCUGGGUCUGAGCGACCCAGGAUCCCUGAGCAGUUAUGGCCUAAUAUUAUAAUAUAUAUUUUGUAUUGCUGUCCCUGGUUCUCCCUGCUUGUAUGUGUAUGUGUGUGUGUGUGUGUCUGAGCACUCGUUUAUAGGCGCCUUCAGGCCUGGUGGGUGUGGCCCUGCUAGGGGACUGGCCACACCCAAAGCCACACACCUGCUCCUGAUCAGGCCUCGUCGGGGGAGCUACUUAAGAGAGUCUUGGAGCUCCCACCGACGCGGGAUCAUUGCGUGAGACUCCACGAGGAGCGUGGGAGGCCUGAAGAGCAGCGAGCACCGGGAGUGCAGACACGGGAGCAGAGAGCACAAGGAGGACACGACACGGGAGUCUUGGGAAACACGGGGAUUUACUGUUGUUUUUCACCAUACACUGUAAAUAAACGCACUGUUCGCACACAGAGCACCGCGCCAGGGUCCUCAUUCCCUGCACCCCCCACGGUCUGCCAUGCCGAACCGUGACAGCUUUUAAGUCAGAAUGAGUUUGUAUUAUUUUUAUUUGUCUUAUUUCUUAGUCAAAUUAUCUAAUUUUAUGAACCUUUUUCUUAACUCUUAUCAUAUCUCCCUAUGUUUUUAUUUCUAUUAAUUAUCUUAAUUGUACAGCACCUUAGUCAAUGGUUGUUUUAAAUGUGCUAAAUAAAAAAUUUUGACUUUGACAAAGUGAGUCUGAAAGUCUGCAAGACGGCAGUUAACAGUUAAGUGUGUGUGUGUGUGUGUGUGUGUGUGUGUGUGUGUGUGUGUAUUAAUCAUUAAUAACACAGAGUUUUACACACAACUUUAUUCCUUCAUUUUUUUAUGGUGGUAGCAUAAAACCAGGUUAACUUAGCAAGGUGAUCACCAGUGUGACCUCUGACCCCAAACACCAGUGUAACCUCUCUCUCUCUCUCUCACACACACACACACACACACACACACACACGCACACACACACACACACACACACUUUGUUUUCUGAUCUGGAAUCAGUGAGGUGAUCCUGCUGCGUUGAAAUGAACUACUGUGUUGUGGUUUAAUUACACAAGUCAUAUCAUGAUUCAUAUGUUGUGCUAUAAGCAGAGGCCCAGGGCCCACUCACAGGUACCUGUGACAGGUGUUACACAGAGAACACACAACAGCUCCUGUGAUUACAAA